rnacentral:rRNA from 1 species
UACGUAGGGCGCAAGCGUUGUCCGGAUUUAUUGGGCGUAAAGAGCUCGUAGGCGGCUUGUCGCGUCGACUGUGAAAACCCACGGCUCAACCGUGUGGCUUGCAGUCGAUACGGGCAGGCUAGAGUUCGGUAGGGGAGACUGGAAUUCCUGGUGUAGCGGUGAAAUGCGCAGAUAUCAGGAGGAACACCGGUGGCGAAGGCGGGUCUCUGGGCCGAUACUGACGCUGAGGAGCGAAAGCGUGGGGAGCGAACAGG